rnacentral:rRNA from 1 species
GGGCACGACACCGGAGAGGGAGCCUGAGAAACGGCUACCACAUCCAAGGAUGGCAGCAGGCGCGCAAAUUACCCAAUCCCGACACGGGGAGGUAGUGACAAUAAAUAACAAUACGGGGUUCUUUAGGAUCUCGUAAUUGGAAUGAGUACAAUUUAAAUCUCUUAACGAGGAACAAUUGGAGGGCAAGUCUGGUGCCAGCAGCCGCGGUAAUUCCAGCUCCAAUAGCGUAUAUUAAAGUUGUUGCAGUUAAAAAGCUCGUAGUUGAAUUUCGGGGUUAGUAGGUUGGUCAUGCCUCUGGUAUGUACUGGUCUCACUGAUUCCUCCUUCCUUAUGAACCGUAAUGCCAUUAAUUUGGUGUUGCGGGGAAUUUGGACUGUUACUUUGAAAAAAUUAGAGUGUUUAAAGCAAGCUAACGCUUGAAUACAUUAGCAUGGAAUAAUGAAAUAGGACGUUCGAUCUUAUUUUGUUGGUUUCUAGGAUUGACGUAAUGAUUAAUAGGGAUAGUUGGGGGCAUUAGUAUUCAAUUGUCAGAGGUGAAAUUCUUGGAUUUAUUGAAGACUAACUACUGCGAAAGCAUUUGCCAAGGAUGUUUUCAUUAAUCAAGAACGAAAGUUAGGGGAUCGAAGACGAUCAGAUACCGUCGUAGUCUUAACCAUAAACUAUGC